UACAUGCAAGUCGAGCGGUAACAGGGGAAGCUUGCUUCCCACUGACGAGCGGCGGACGGGUGAGUAAUGCUUAGGAAUCUGCCCAGUAGUGGGGGAUAGCCCGGGGAAACCCGGAUUAAUACCGCAUACGUCCUACGGGAGAAAGCAGGGGAUCUUCGGACCUUGCGCUAUUGGAUGAGCCUAAGUCGGAUUAGCUAGUUGGUGGGGUAAAGGCCUACCAAGGCGACGAUCCGUAGCUGGUCUGAGAGGAUGAUCAGCCACAUCGGGACUGAGACACGGCCCAGACUCCUACGGGAGGCAGCAGUGGGGAAUAUUGGACAAUGGGCGCAAGCCUGAUCCAGCCAUGCCGCGUGAGUGAUGAAGGCCCUAGGGUUGUAAAGCUCUUUCAGCGAGGAGGAUAAUGACGUUACUCGCAGAAGAAGCCCCGGCUAACUUCGUGCCAGCAGCCGCGGUAAUACGAAGGGGGCUAGCGUUGUUCGGAAUCACUGGGCGUAAAGCGU
rnacentral:rRNA from 1 species